rnacentral:rRNA from 1 species
GGGGAAUAUUGGACAAUGGGGGCAACCCUGAUCCAGCCAUGCCGCGUGAGUGAUGAAGGCCUUCGGGUUGUAAAGCUCUUUUGGCGGGGACGAUGAUGACGGUACCCGCAGAAUAAGCCCCGGCUAACUUCGUGCCAGCAGCCGCGGUAAGACGAAGGGGGCAAGCGUUGUUCGGAAUUACUGGGCGUAAAGGGCGCGUAGGCGGUUUGCUUAGUCAGGCGUGAAAGCCCUGGGCUUAACCUGGGAUGUGCGCUUGAUACUGGCAGGCUUGAGUGUGGGAGAGNUUGGUGGAAUUCCCAGUGUAGAGGUGAAAUUCGUAGAUAUUGGGAAGAACACCGGUGGCGAAGGCGGCCAACUGGACCACAACUGACGCUGAGGCGCGAAAGCGUUGGGAGCAAACA